UUUCAAUGCUUGCUCGGUUUUUCAAGAGUUGUGGCACUUACCGAUUCUCUUUUUCAUUCUCCCCAACUUAUUUCUUACUCAUCCUAAGUGAAUGCUCUUGACUUUUUACGGCAAAAGAACAAUUAUAAAAAUUUUCCGGGUUUCAAGAAAAAAGAUUUUUGACAUCUCGCUUUAUUUCAAGUUGAGAUUCAACUGUUUAAGCUCAAAGGAGUUAACAAAUACUCUCUCUGCUCACGGGUAAGUUGUAUUUGGAACUGGUUGUUGUAACACCCCGAUAAAAU
rnacentral:lncRNA from 1 species